UACGGGGGGAGCAAGCGUUGUUCGGAUUUAUUGGGCGUAAAGAGCUCGUAGGCGGCCACACAGGUCUGCUGUGAAAACUCGAGGCUCAACCUCGAGCUGUCGGUGGAAACCGUGUGGCUAGAGUCCGGAAGAGGAGAGUGGAAUUCCCGGUGUAGCGGUGAAAUGCGCAGAUAUCGGGAAGAACACCCGUGGCGAAGGCGGCUCUCUGGGACGGUACUGACGCUGAGACGCGAAAGCGUGGGGAGCGAACAGG
rnacentral:rRNA from 1 species